GUGUCUGGGGUCAGACUCGUGGCCUGCUCCCCCCGUGUCUCUCUCUACCUGUUGCUUUGGCGGGCCCACCGGGGCCACCCGGUCGCCCGGGGACGUCCGUCACCGGGCCCGCGCCCGCCGAUCGCUCUGUGAACCCUGAUGAAUAUGGGCUGUCUGAGUCUCAUGAAAAUUGUCAAAACUUUCAACAAUGGAUCUCUUGGUUCCGGCAUCAAUGAAGAACGCAGCGAAAUGCGAUAAGUAAUGUGAAUUGCAGAAUUCCGUGAAUCAUCAAAUCUUUGAACCCACAUUGCCCCCCCUGGCAUUCUGGGGGGCAUGCCUGUCCAAGCGUCAUUUUUGCCCUCAAGCCCGGAUUGUGUGUUGGGCAUGGUUCCCCCGGGGACCUGCCCGAAAGGCACCGGCGACUUCUGUCCGGUCCUCGACCGAAUGGGGAUUUGUCACUCUCUCGGGACGGAUCGGUGGAGGUUGGUCACCACCACAUAUUUACCACGGUUGACCUCAAAUCAAGUAGGAGUAACACGCUAAACUUAAGCAUAUCAAUAAGC
rnacentral:rRNA from 1 species